UACGGGGGAGCAAGCGUUGUUCGGAUUUACUGGGCGUAAAGGGCGCGGUAGGCGGUCGUGACAAGUCACUUGUGAAAUCUCCGGGCUUAACUCGGAACGGUCAAGUGAUACUGUCGGACUAGAGUACAGAAGGGGCAACUGGGAAUUCUCGGUGUAGCGGUGAAAUGCGUAGAUAUGACGGACGGAACACUAUUGCGAAGGCAGCUCGCUGGGACGUUAACUGACGCUGGAGAACGCGAAAGCGUGGGGAGCAAACAGGAUUAGAUACCC
rnacentral:rRNA from 1 species